UAGCCGUAAACGAUACUCGCUAGGUGUCGGCCACGGUGCGACCGUUGUCGGUGCCGUAGGGAAGCCGUGAAGCGAGCCACCUGGGAAGUACGGCCGCAAGGCUGAAACUUAAAGGAAUUGGCGGGGGAGCACAACAACGGGUGGAGCUUGCGGUUUAAUUGGAUUCAACGCCGGAAAUCUUACCAGGGCGACAGCAGAAUGAUGGCCAGGUUGAUGACCUUGCUUGACAAGCUGAGAGGAGGUGCAUGGCGUAGUCGUGU
rnacentral:rRNA from 1 species